rnacentral:rRNA from 1 species
GAUGAACGCUGGCGGCGUGCCUAACACAUGCAAGUCGAGCGGAAGGACGAGGAGCUUGCUUCUCUCUUGUUAGCGGAGCACGUGUGAGUAACGCGUGUAUACUGUACCUAUCAGACUGGGAUCACCUCGGGAAUCCGGAGCUUACACCGGAUGAUAUUUUGAUCCGUGUGGGUCGAAAGAGAAAGUCGGUGUUGCUGGCAGUUAUCGCUGGAUCCGCGCUGCAUUAGCUAGUUGGUGAGGUAACGGCUUUCCAAGGCAACUAUGCAUAGGCGACCUGAGAGGGGGAUCGGCCACAUUGGAACGGGGACGCGGUCCAGACUCCUACGGGAGGCAGCAGUAGGGAAUCUGAGGCAAUGGGGGAGAACCUUGCGGAGCAACGCGGCGUGAGUUAUGAAGGUCUUCGGAGCGUAAUGCUCUGUUAUGAGUGAAGAACAUAUGUGUAAGGAACUGUACACAGCGUGACGGUACCUGAUCAGAAAGCCACGGCUAACUACGUG